rnacentral:rRNA from 1 species
AAACCAGAUUCGUAGCUGGCGUCUUCGGCGUCCGCAUUGUAAUCUCAAGAAGUGUUUUCCGCUUCGGACCAUGCCUAAGUCCCUUGGAAAAGGGCAUCAUAGAGGGUGAUAAUCCCGUACAUGGCAUGGAGCGCCCGAAGCUUUGUGAUACGCUUUCUAAGAGUCGAGUUGUUUGGGAAUGCAGCUCAAAAUGGGUGGUAAAUGCCAUCUAAGGCUAAAUAUUGGGGAGAGACCGAUAGCGAACAAGUACAGUGAUGGAAAGAUGAAAAGAACUUUGAAAAGAGAGUUAAACAGUACGUGAAAUUGCCAAAAGGGAAGGGUAGGAGGUCAGAGAUGCGGCCUGGGAUUCAGCCUUGCUUUUGCUUGGUGUUUUUCCCAGAUUGCAGGCCAACGUCGGUUUUGGGCACUGGAGAAGGGUAGGAGGAACGUGGCACCUCUCGGGGUGUGUUAUAGCCUCCUACUGGAUACAGCGACCGAGACCGAGGACAGCAGCGUACUCGCAAGAGCGGGCCUUCGGGCACCUUUACGCUUAGGGCGUUGGCAUAAUGGCCCUCUACCACCCGUCUUG